GGGUCAGUAGGUUGGUCGUGCCACCGGUACGUACUGGUCCCACUGAUUCCUCCUUCCUGAAGAACCGUAAUGCCAUUAAUUCGGUGUUGCGGGGAAGCAGGACUGUUACUUUGAAAAAAUUAGAGUGUUUAAAGCAAGCUAACGCUUGAAUACAUUAGCAUGGAAUAAUGAAAUAGGACGAUCGAUCCUAUUUUGUUGGUUUCUAGGAUUGACGUA
rnacentral:rRNA from 1 species